rnacentral:rRNA from 1 species
UACAGAGGGUGCAAGCGUUAAUCGGAAUGACUGGGCGUAAAGCGCACGUAGGUGGUUUUUUAAGUUGGAUGUGAAAUCCCUGGGCUCAACCUAGGAAUGGCGUCCAAAACUGGCGAGCUAGAGUACGGUAGAGGGUGGUGGAAUUUCCUGUGUAGCGGUGAAAUGCGUAGAUAUCGUGAGGAACACCAGAGGCGAAGGCGGUUACCUGGACAGUUACUGACGCUCAGGCACGAAAGCAUGGGGAGCAAAAGGG